ACCCACUUAGGAUCGUACCUGGAGAAUUUCCAGUACUCUACCAGUCUCGACUACAGGAGGGAGAUCAAGCAGGGGCAUACCCAUUCCAUUCCUAGCUUGGCCAGUGGCUAGUUAGUGGAAGGCAAUCUGCUACAAGU